AACGAACGCUGGCGGCAGGCUUAACACAUGCAAGUCGAGCGCCCCGCAAGGGGAGCGGCAGACGGGUGAGUAACGCGUGGGAAUCUACCGUACCCUACGGAAUAGCUCCGGGAAACUGGAAUUAGUACCGUAUACGCCCUACGGGGGAAAGAUUUAUCGGGGUAUGGUGAGCCCGCGUUGGAUUAGCUAGUUGGUGGGGUAAAGGCCUACCAAGGCGACGAUCCAUAGCUGGUCUGAGAGGAUGAUCAGCCACAUUGGGACUGAGACACGGCCCAAACUCCUACGGGAGGCAGCAGUGGGGAAUAUUGGACAAUGGGCGCAAGCCUGAUCCAGCCAUGCCGCGUGAGUGAUGAAGGUCUUAGGAUUGUAAAGCUCUUUCACCGAUGAAGAUAAUGACGGUAGUCGGAGAAGAAGCCCCGGCUAACUUCGUGCCAGCCGCCGCCGUAA
rnacentral:rRNA from 1 species